rnacentral:lncRNA from 1 species
GUGACCUUCAAGUGUUCCCCAGCCUUUAUAUCUCGUAAGUCUGUCUGAAAAUAUCUUUCUCUCUUUGAUGCCAGUUUUCCAAUGAAAAUAUUGCUAAACUAUGUAUCAGCUGACAUCUGUUACAGCAAAUAUGCUUACUGUAGCCAUGUACGCACCACAAGGCGCAAGAGGUUAGGCUAUAUCUUAUUCUGUGACAUCACAAAUUCUGCAUUAGCUUGCAGGAAACAAUGGUAGCUUGGGCCACACUUACAAAUAACCAUGAAAAGUUAUAUACCUAUCGUAUACUGGUAAAAUCUUGCUCUUGUAUCUCUAUAGAAUAAUUACCAAGAUCCAAAGUGAUAUCAACAAGGGGGAGCAGAAGAAGGGCGUUGGUCUGAAGUAAGAAAACUGAUUUUAUGUUACAGUUUCAACUGAGUGUAACUGUGACUGAACAAGUCUUGACUUUCAUAUUUUGUCUUUGACCAGAUUAAAAGCACAAAAAUAUCUAAAAAAAGGUAAAGAAGACUUUCGGUUAAAUAUGACACCGAUAUCACAAAGCCAUCUCUCCUUAGGCCCGAUCUUCUGUUUUUUACAGCUCCCCCUCCUCCAGUUUUUGUACAGGAAGAAGAAGACUGGAACUCAGAUGAGUUUGACAAUGACAGUGACUAUGACGCUCCGCCUCAGGAGUGGGGCAACAACAGCUACACAUGUGAAAAAAAUCAGUCACAACCAGCUGAACAACAAGACAGCGGCGAGGCAAGCGACGAAGACUACGAACAGCCUGACUCUGAAGACACAAUGAUGCCACCUCAUCCCCCAAGAGAAGCCAAACUUCAUGACAGGCACUACAGAGGUAACAGAAAGAGCCACGAAGAAAGUGCUGUUUUGAAGAAAAGGCAGAGCAGAGCUGCAAUGAUUAAACAUUUGCUGGUUUCAGCUUCUUCAGCUUUUUAUUUUGAUA